CACGUAGGGGACGAGCGUUGUCCGGAUUCAUUGGGCGUAAAGCGCGCGUAGGCGGCUCGGAAAGUCGGUCGUGAAAUGCCGGGGCUCAACCCCGGGACUGCGUCCGAUACUCCCGAGCUGGAGGCAGGUAGGGGAGAUCGGAAUUCCUGGUGUAGCGGUGAAAUGCGCAGAUAUCAGGAGGAACACCGGUGGCGAAGGCGGAUCUCGUGGGCCUUGCCUGACGCUGAGGCGCGAAAGCUAGGGGAGCGAACAGG
rnacentral:rRNA from 1 species